UACGGAGGGGGCUAGCGUUGUUCGGAAUUACUGGGCGUAAAGCGCACGUAGGCGGCUUUGUAAGUUAGAGGUGAAAGCCCGGGGCUCAACCCCGGAAUUGCCUUUGAGACUGCAUCGCUAGAAUUGUGGAGAGGUAAGUGGAAUUCCGAGUGUAGAGGUGAAAUUCGUAGAUAUUCGGAGGAACACCAGUGGCGAAGGCGGCUCACUGGUCCAUUACUGACGCUGAGGUGCGAAAGCGUGGGGAGCAAACAGG
rnacentral:rRNA from 1 species